AUUCAGCUGACGAUUCUCAAAUAGAAAGAAACACGCGUCAUGGAU
rfam:Schistosoma mattheei strain Denwood, Zambia genome assembly, scaffold: SMTD_contig0008367